UACGUAGGGUGCGAGCGUUUGUCCGGAAUUAUUGGGCGUAAAGGGCUCGUAGGCGGUUUGUCGCGUCGGGAGUGAAAACCCAGGGCUUAACUCUGGGCUUGCUUUCGAUACGGGCAGACUAGAGGUAUGCAGGGGAGAACGAAUUCCUGGUGUAGCGGUGAAAUGCGCAGAAUAUCAGGAGGAACACCGGUGGCGAAGGCGGUUC
rnacentral:rRNA from 1 species